rnacentral:rRNA from 1 species
AUUGAACGCUGGCGGCAGGCCUAACACAUGCAAGUCGAGCGGAUGAGAAGAGCUUGCUCUUCGAGUUAGCGGCGGACGGGUGAGUAAUGCCUAGGAAUCUGCCUGGUAGUGGGGGACAACGUUUCGAAAGGAACGCUAAUACCGCAUACGUCCUACGGGAGAAAGCAGGGGACCUUCGGGCCUUGCGCUAUCAGAUGAGCCUAGGUCGGAUUAGCUAGUUGGUGAGGUAAUGGCUCACCAAGGCGACGAUCCGUAACUGGUCUGAGAGGAUGAUCAGUCACACUGGAACUGAGACACGGUCCAGACUCCUACGGGAGGCAGCAGUGGGGAAUAUUGGACAACGGGCGAAAGCCUGAUCCAGCCAUGCCGCGUGUGUGAAGAAGGUCUUCGGAUUGUAAAGCACUUUAAGUUGGGAGGAAGGGCAGUAAGCGAAUACCUUGCUGUUUUGACGUUACCGACAGAAUAAGCACCGGCUAACUCUGUGCCAGCAGCCGCCGUAAUAC